rnacentral:rRNA from 1 species
UACAGAGGUGGCAAGCGUUGUUCGGAAUUACUGGGCGUAAAGGGCGCGUAGGCGGCCUUCUAAGUCAGACGUGAAAUCCCCAGGCUUAACCUGGGAACUGCGUCGGAUACUGGAUGGCUUGAAUUCGGGAGAGGGAUGCAGAAUUCCAGGUGCAGCGGUGAGAUGCGUAGAUAUCUGGAGGAAUACCGGUGGCGAAGGCGGCAUCCUGGACCGACAUUGACGCUGAACGGCGAAAGCUAGGGGAGCAAACGGG